GACGAACGCUGGCGGCGUGCUUAACACAUGCAAGUCGAACGGGUCUGCCCUGUUUUUUGCGGGGUGGGUCAGUGGCGAACGGGUGAGUAACACGUGAGUAACCUGCCCCUCACUUCUGGAUAACCGCUUGAAAGGGUGGCUAAUACGGGGUGUUCUGGCUGUGCCGCAUGGUGUGGCUGGGAAAGAUUCACUUUUGUGGUGUUUUGGUGGGGGAUGGGCUCGCGGCCUAUCAGCUUGUUGGUGGGGUGAUGGCCUGCCAAGGCUUUGACGGGUAGCCGGCCUGAGAGGGUGGGCGGUCACACUGGGACUGAGAUACGGCCCGGACUCCUGCGGGAGGCAGCAGUGGGGGGUAGUGCACAAUGGGCGGAAGCCUGAUGCAGCGACGUCGCGUGAGGGAUGGAGGCCUUCGGGUUGUGAACCUCUUUCGCCGGUGAAGAAGGUCCUGCUCUUUGUGGUGGGGUUGACGGUAGCCGGGUUAUGAAGCGCCGGCUAACUACGUG
rnacentral:rRNA from 1 species